CCCGGUUGCAGCCGGCAGCCCACGUCCAGGGAGGGCGGAGGGAGGAGGAGAGGCGCGGAGAGGAGGGAGAGGAGGUGGGAGGGAGGAAGGCGAGAGAAAGGGAGCUGCUUCCAUCCUGGACUUCCCAGAGCCUGCCUGGAGCGCGCACUCAGCGGCUCUCGGGUCCCAACGUCCCAGCCGCGGCCCGCGCCCCUCCGCCCGACUCCUCCUCCUCUUUCUCUUCCUCCUCCUCCUCUCUGGGCACCCCUGUCCCCUCCUUCCAGCAGCUGCAGCCCCCUGUCCCAACUCGGCCUCAUCCCCAACUCUCCGCACUCACUCUUGGGACGCGCGUCCUCGCCCCAUCCUUCGCUUCCUUCCUUCCUUCUUCCUUCCUCCCCGGGCGCCCGCCCUCCCUCUCCAGGUCGCCCUCCCGGGGCCCGAUUGUCUCGGUGCCCCGCUCCCGGCCCGCGCCCUGCCCCGACUCUCCCUCGCAUUUCCUGAGUCGCCCGCCGCCGCCGUCGCAGUCUCACCGCGGGAUCCGCAGCCCAAGCCCGACAGCCACUGCCCCGGCUCCAGCCCCGCAGUCCGCGGCGCCCGCCCGAGGGAGCCCCGGCGCCCGGGGAAGGCAACAGUGGGCGAGCGCGACCUCGCCCAACCCGGCGCCCCAGCCCUGCCCGGCCCGGCGAGGAAGGACCGGGAAGAUGAACAACGGCGGCAAAGCCGAGAAGGAGAACACCCCGAGCGAGGCCAACCUUCAGGAGGAGGAGGUCCGGACCCUAUUUGUCAGUGGUCUUCCUCUGGAUAUCAAACCUCGGGAGCUCUAUCUGCUUUUCAGACCUUUUAAGGGCUAUGAGGGUUCUCUUAUAAAGCUCACAUCUAAACAGCCCGUAGGUUUUGUCAGUUUUGACAGUCGCUCAGAAGCAGAAGCUGCAAAGAAUGCUUUGAAUGGCAUCCGCUUUGAUCCUGAAAUCCCGCAAACACUGCGACUAGAGUUUGCUAAGGCAAACACGAAGAUGGCCAAGAAUAAACUCGUAGGGACUCCAAACCCCAGUACUCCUCUGCCCAACACUGUACCUCAGUUCAUUGCCAGAGAGCCAUAUGAGCUCACAGUGCCUGCACUUUACCCCAGUAGCCCUGAAGUGUGGGCCCCGUACCCUCUGUACCCAGCGGAGUUAGCGCCUGCUCUACCUCCUCCUGCUUUCACCUAUCCCGCUUCACUGCAUGCCCAGAUGCGCUGGCUCCCUCCCUCCGAGGCUACUUCUCAGGGCUGGAAGUCCCGUCAGUUCUGCUGAAUACUAUGUCCCAGGUGUGUGAUGGCGGCUGCAAUCUGUCUUGUGGGUAUUAAUGCAAUCUUCAGUGGUGGCUACUGUUCUCUAGCUGUUCUGCAAAACUGGAGCGUGCUGGCUUGAAAAAACCUUGCCCAGUUUUGAUCCCUUCAAGACUUUGCUACAGCCUCUAUCACACAUCUGUUUUUCUCAAAACAUAUAAUAAAAAUGUUUUACUCUUUUACACUGUAUAAUUGUAAGAAAUAGUGUGUUAUUUGUGAAUGCAUGGUCUGACAUUUCUGUACAGUUUGGAGGUAUUUUCAAACAAAACGUAAGAGAAGUCAACAAUAAAAGCAAGAAAAGUGAGUAUUUUUAUACCAAACAAACAUUUUAAGUAUGCUGGGAUGGACGAUCUUGCACAGGGUUGGAUCACUGUUUUGUGCUCGACUUUUGAAUGCUUGUAAUUUAAAAUAUCUAUUUUUUUCCUCUAAAGUAAGCUGCAUGUUUGAGGCAUGUUUCCAAAUAUUAACCAGAAUUUCCUGUAUUGUGACUAUAUAGAAAUCUGUGCCUACCCAGAGUCUAGGGUAUAUUAGCGUGGUGUAGCUGUUAGAACUGUUACCUGCAGUAUUAGGUCUAGAAUCCCAGUUCCAUUAAGACAACCCUGCAAGACAAUCAACCGGAAGCCCCCAGGAGCUUCUACCAAUGGCUUAUUCAUAACUGGGCAAAGAAAACAUUGGUAAGAACAGGUCAGUGUGCCCCAGCAGCUCCAGCUGCGACUAUAAACUGUGUGCCGAGUGUUGCAUUUUUGCAGUCUUAUGUUUCCUUUGUAACUGCAUGCUCCCGUGUGUAACUCACCUUCCACAAGCCAGCCCGGCAGCCCCGCUCCCCCAGUGGAAGUGCAGGGCUCGCCUCAUGGGUAAGGGACAACCUUGGCUUGGGAGGCCAGCCCCGGCCCACGAGGGGCUGGCUGUGCCCAACCCACUUGGCUGCAGCGGGCAGCUCAUGUCUCUGUCUCCAAAGUGAUUUCUGCAAAACAUCGGUGAAUUGAGCUGGUGUUCCCAACUCUUGGUGGCGCGGGGCCAAAUGGACCACAUACCAUGAGCUCCCGAAUGUCGUGUGCUAUGAGGAUGACCUGCCACACUGCACAGAGACGGAAGCAUUGGGCACUGGAACCAGUUCUACUCAGACUUCAUCAAAGUCAGUCUUGUGUUGUCAGUUGACACAUCUCCAGAGUAUGACAGCUCAACCGCUCCCCCUCAUACAAGAGGCAUCUGUAAAACCACAGUGACCUAAAUUCAGCUGCCAAACACAAUCACAGGCUUUCCUAUUGAUCUGCUCAGCUUCUGUGGAAAAUUUCAAUGUGAUGAUUACCUGGUUGGUUUGUGUUCUCCUGUUUUCCAUUAGAAAUAAAGAUGUCAAGAAGCUUUUAAAGGUCACCACAAAAAACGACCAAGACUCUACGAGUGAGGGGCCCGCUCUUACCAUAAAUAAGGGGAAAGGGCAGUUAGCACGGGGACUUGUGACGGAGCCACUUUGGUGUUCAAGGACCUGCUUAUGCCCUCAGUGCCACAUGGCUCUUGGUGAGAUGCCUGUACUCCUCUCUAAGGAAAACAGCCACUUCGACACAGUCUAUUAUGCUUUUAUAACUGUUUAAAGGUACUUUUCUAUGGUCGUUUUUAAAAAAUAAAGUGCUUAUUCCAG